AGAGUUUGAUCCUGGCUCAGGACGAACGCUGGCGGCGCGCUUAACACAUGCAAGUCGAGCGAGAACCAGUCCUUCGGGGCUGGGGACAGCGGCGAACGGGUGAGUAACACGUGAGUAAUCCACCCUUGGUACCGGGAUAGCCCGGGGAAACUCGGAUUAAUACCGGAUGGCCCAUCAGCUUUUCGGAGCGGAUGGAAAAGGUAGCUUCGGCCUCCGACCAAAGACGAGCUCGCGGCGGAUUAGCUUGUUGGCGGGGUAACGGCCCACCAAGGCGACGAUCCGUAGCUGGUCUGAGAGGACGAUUAGCCACACUGGGACUGAGACACGGCCCAGACUCCUACGGGAGGCAGCAGUGGGGAAUCUUGCGCAAUGGGCGAAAGCCUGACGCAGCGACGCCGCGUGAGGGAAGAAGGCCUUCGGGUUGUAAACCUCUUUCAGGAGGGACGAAGCCACUCGGGUUAAUAGCCCAGAGGGUGACGGUACCUCCAGAAGAAGCCCCGGCUAACUACGUGCCAGCAGCCGCGGUAAUACGUAGGGGGCAAGCGUUGUCCGGAUUUAUUGGGCGUAAAGAGCGUGUAGGCGGUUUUACAGGUCCGCUGUGAAAACUCGAGGCUCAACCUCGAGCUGUCGGUGGAAACCGUAAGGCUAGAGUCCGGAAGAGGAGAGUGGAAUUCCUGGUGUAGCGGUGAAGUGCGCAGAUAUCAGGAAGAACACCCGUGGCGAAGGCGGCUCUCUGGGACGGUACUGACGCUGAGACGCGAAAGCGUGGGGAGCGAACAGGAUUAGAUACCCUGGUAGUCCACGCCGUAAACGAUGGGUGCUAGGUGUGGGGGGUGUCGACUCCCCCCGUGCCGAAGCUAACGCAUUAAGCACCCCGC
rnacentral:rRNA from 1 species